rfam:Cavia porcellus supercont2_24 genomic scaffold, whole genome shotgun sequence.
GGAUGUGAGGGCAAUCUGGCUGCAACUUUGGUCACCCCACUGAUGCUCAGAGUGCAUUCAUCUGAUCUGACUGGAUAGGUGAGUGUCCCCUUCCUCCCUCAAUGCUCUAUGUGUGUCCUUCCAGAAGUGUGUGCUCCAUUGAGGAGGAUGUCCGCCUCUAGUAGAGAAGGACUGUUCCUUGGUCAAGGGGGUCUAAGUAGCCGUGCUCCCUCGCUAGAAUCUCCAAACGAGCUCUCAGAUAUGUAGACAGAUUUCUGCAGUUUAGUUUUACAUUUAUUUUUUCAUGCUCUGUUCCUAUCUUUGGAAUUAUUAAGA